rnacentral:rRNA from 1 species
UACGGAAGGCAGCAGUGGGGAAUAUUGCACAAUGGGCGCAAGCCUGAUGCAGCCAUGCCGCGUGUAUGAAGAAGGCCUUCGGGUUGUAAAGUACUUUCAGUCGUGAGGAAGGUGUUAAGGUUAAUAACCUUAGCAAUUGACGUUAGCGACAGAAGAAGCACCGGCUAACUCCGUGCCAGCAGCCGCGGUAAUACGGAGGGUGCGAGCGUUAAUCGGAAUUACUGGGCGUAAAGGGCACGCAGGCGGUUAAUUAAGUUGGAUGUGAAAUCCCCGGGCUUAACCUGGGAAUGGCAUUCAAGACUGGUUAGCUAGAGUCUUGUAGAGGGGGUAGAAUUCCAUGUGUAGCGGUGAAAUGCGUAGAGAUGUGGAGGAUACCGGUGGCGAAGGCGGCCCCUGGACAAAGGACUGACGCUCAUGUGCGAAAGCGUGGGGAGCGAAACAGGGAUUAGAUACC